rnacentral:pre_miRNA from 1 species
AGGCUUUCGAAUGUGUGCAGAUUUCGUCAGACACCAAGCCAUUAGUGCUGACCAGACUUUCAAGAUAAGUGAAACU